UCUGUGACUAGUCAGCAAGGUCUGACUAGAUGCCCUGAGGACCACUCAGAGUGAAACAGCUAGCAUCAUGCAGUGGAAAUGAACCAAGCUUUGGUAGCAUACACCCUAUUCUACCUCUGAUUGGCUGUGUGACUCGGCCCACACCUGUGAUCAUCACAUCAAAUGCAGAUAUGAAUUUCAGAACAAACUAAAGUCAAGGCCCUAAGUUUCUGCUGCACUGACAAAUACUACGAACGAACUGGGUAAUUUCUAAAGAAGAAAUAUGAGCUCUCAUAGUUCUGGGGGCUGGGACAUCCCAGGCCAAGACGUCAGCGUCAUCUGUUGAGGGACUUUCUGCAGUGUCACGACCAGACAGAAGGCAGCACACAGCAAAGGAACACACAUAAGGAAGCCAGAGAGGAACAGGAAGCUGAACUUGAUGCUGUAACAACUCAUUGUCAAGGUAACACCCAAGUGGACAGUAUCAUAGGACAGUUCUCUGGAUGACCAUGGGUGGAUCCACUUCCUGCAAAUAAAAGUUUGCAGAGGGGUGGAAAGCUAUCUAUUGUUAAACAUUCUCCAAGGCUGAAUCGCUGAUUAGAAUUUCUAUGAUGGGCCUGAGAGCUGGCUCAGUGUUCCUCAAGAAUAACUGUAGGACGUGCUGAGAAUGAAACAUUCUGAGAUAAACAGAGCCUGCUAGGUCACCACAGGCUCUGCGUCUGCCAGUCCUAAAGCAUAAUGUGCUGGAACGCUUAAGUCUGGCAUGGCACCUCCUGUGGCCUCCUCCCAGGUUUCUUCUAUGAUGGCAGAAAAGGACUAAACCGAAUUUGUCAUGAGGACCUACAAGAGGCCCCUCAGGGAGUUCCCCAAUUGCAAAGGAAUAAUCCAACCAAGAAAAUUUUAACUAAAAUGUGGCUGAAAUUAUAUGACACUUUUUCCUUGAAACCAUUGCUCAAAGCACAAGAUGAACAUUUUACUUGAAUGUAGCAUCUGAUAAAAGUAUAGUAUUUGGAAAGAUAGAGAAUACACGUGGGCAUUCGGAGAAGCAAAAAGUAUGUGAAGCAUGCAAAAAUAACGAGGGGAAGAUAUUUGUUGAUCUGAACUUCAAUAGCCUACUGGUCCCCUGGGAAGAUACGUUUACAGACUCCUCAAUCAUUUAUGCUACUAGCCUUUUCUUUUCUGGCAGGUAUAUUGUUGCUGGUUUUGUUUUUGUUUUUGUUUUUGUUUUCUUUA